AAUCCAAUUUUCUGCAUCCUCUUUGCUCGUGACACCUAGAUUCUAAGUUGGUGCUUCUUUCUUCUCUCCCGCUGCCGCGGCCGCCGCCGACGAGGCUCCAGCGCGGCAUUCUGGCGGAGGAUUUCGGCGAAACUCAAAUCUUGUCUAUCACACUUUCUGAGAUCUAAAUGGAGGAAUGUGAGAAAUGAAAUUGAACUACGUUUAUAAUGGCAGAAGAUGAUAAAGAUGUCAAGUCAUUUAAGGAUUUGGGAAUAUGUGAGCAAUUGGUCGAGGCUUGUGUAAAUUUGGGAUGGAAAACCCCAUGAAAGAUACAGGCUGAGGCCAUUCCUCAUGCACUAGAAGGUUUUGGAUGAGGUAGAUAGGCUACUGAACGAGGAUUUUGAGAAAGCAAUUGAUGAAAUUUGAAGUGUUAUCCCACAUGAGCCAAGACAUUUAUUUUUUGCUACUAUGACAAAAAAGGAUUCCAUACCUUGAGUGGGUAGAACUGCUCGUGCAGGAAGAUCUGGGGUAGCCAUCUCAUUGGUGAAUCAGUAUGAGUUGGAAUGGUUCAUACAGAUAGAGAAACUUAUUGGUAGGCACCACUCUCAACAUUCCAGGAAAAAGGUUGCUGGGAUGAUAUAAAUUUGUGCAACUAGUUUGAGAAAUAGUGCUUAGAAUUUCAUAGAUUGCCCUUGCCCUCAUGAAAUUUGUUGUCCUGGGCAGAUACAUUAAAGGUCCUAUGUUGUAUGCUCUCAUGGCAACAUGGUUUUUAGUUAGUAAUGGUUUGUUUGGAAAUCAUUUUUGACAACAGUUUUAUGUUCUUGAAAAUAUAAAAUAGUUUUCAAAUUUAGAAAAUUAAAGAGAGUGGAGGCAAGAAGAAACGAAAGGGAGGAGAGACGAUGGCGAUGAAGAAGUGGACAGAUGCAUAGCUUCAAAGAAUGGCAAGUCAUCAAAGAAGUUGAAACGAUGAUAGUGGAACUGCUACUUUCAAUUAUUGUCUCUGUUUAUAUUUAUUAUUAUUUAUUUUUUUUUUUUAUCUCAAAGGAAUGAUAUUGUAGUGACUAAAUAUAGACUAUUUGCUGAAGUUAGACCAAGAAAAUAAUUUCGAAAUUAUUGCAUUAAACGUACAAAGAAUUG